rnacentral:rRNA from 2 species
UGAUUUACAUUUGAGUGAGUGGCGAACUGGUGAGUAACACGUGGGAAACCUGCCCAGAAGCGGGGGAUAACACCUGGAAACAGAUGCUAAUACCGCAUAACAACUUGGACCGCAUGGUCCGAGUUUGAAAGAUGGCUUCGGCUAUCACUUUUGGAUGGUCCCGCGGCGUAUUAGCUAGAUGGUGGGGUAACGGCUCACCAUGGCAAUGAUACGUAGCCGACCUGAGAGGGUAAUCGGCCACAUUGGGACUGAGACACGGCCCAAACUCCUACGGGAGGCAGCAGUAGGGAAUCUUCCACAAUGGACGAAAGUCUGAUGGAGCAACGCCGCGUGAGUGAAGAAGGGUUUCGGCUCGUAAAACUCUGUUGUUAAAGAAGAACAUAUCUGAGAGUAACUGUUCAGGUAUUGACGGUAUUUAACCAGAAAGCCACGGCUAACUACGUGCCAGCAGCCGCGGUAAUACGUAGGUGGCAAGCGUUGUCCGGAUUUAUUGGGCGUAAAGCGAGCGCAGGCGGUUUUUUAAGUCUGAUGUGAAAGCCUUCGGCUCAACCGAAGAAGUGCAUCGGAAACUGGGAAACUUGAGUGCAGAAGAGGACAGUGGAACUCCAUGUGUAGCGGUGAAAUGCGUAGAUAUAUGGAAGAACACCAGUGGCGAAGGCGGCUGUCUGGUCUGUAACUGACGCUGAGGCUCGAAAGUAUGGGUAGCAAACAGGAUUAGAUACCCUGGUAGUCCAUACCGUAAACGAUGAAUGCUAAGUGUUGGAGGGUUUCCGCCCUUCAGUGCUGCAGCUAACGCAUUAAG